rnacentral:misc_RNA from 1 species
GAUGAAGAACGUAGCGAAAUGCGAUACUUGGUGUGAAUUGCAGAAUUCAGUGAAUCAUCGAAUCUUUGAACGCACAUUGCGCCCGCCAGUAUUCUGGCGGGCAUGCCUGUCUGAGCGUCAUUUCAACCCUCAUGCCCCUAGGGCGUGGUGUUGGGGAUCGGCCAAAGCCCGCGAGGGACGGCCGGCCCCUAAAUCUAGUGGCGGACCCGUCGUGGCCUCCUCUGCGAAGUAGUGAUAUUCCGCAUCGGAGAGCGACGAGCCCCUGCCGUUAAACCCCCAACUUUCCAAGGUUGACCUCAGAUCAGGUAGGAAUACCCGCUGAACUUAAGCAUAUCAAUAAGCGGAGGA